UGAAUCGUAAGGUUUGCUGGAGGUAUCAGAAGUGCGAAUGCUGACAUGAGUAACGACAAAGGGGGUGAAAAACCUCCUCGCCGGAAGACCAAGGGUUCCUGUCCAACGUUAAUCGGGGCAGGGUGAGUCGACCCCUAAGGUGAGGCCGAAAGGCGUAAUCGAUGGGAAACGGGUUAAUAUUCCCGUACUUCUGACUAUUGCGAUGGGGGGACGGAGAAGGCUAGGUGGGCCAGGCGACGGUUGUCCUGGUUCAAGUGCGUAGGCUUGAGAGUUAGGUAAAUCCGGCUCUCUCUAAGGCUGAGACACGACGUCGAGCUACUACGGUAGUGAAGUCAUUGAUGCCAUGCUUCCAGGAAAAGCCUCUAAGCUUCAGAUAGUCAGGAAUCGUACCCCAAACCGACACAGGUGGUCGGGUAGAGAAUACCAAGGCGCUUGAGAGAACUCGGGUGAAGGAACUAGGCAAAAUGGUACCGUAACUUCGGGAGAAGGUACGCUCUUGAUGGUGAAGUCCCUCGCGGAUGGAGCUGACGAGAGUCGCAGAUACCAGGUGGCUGCAACUGUUUAUUAAAAACACAGCACUGUGCAAAAUCGCAAGAUGACGUAUACGGUGUGACGCCUGCCCGGUGCCGGAAGGUUAAUUGAUGGGGUUAGCGCAAGCGAAGCUCUUGAUCGAAGCCCCGGUAAACGGCGGCCGUAACUAUAACGGUCCUAAGGUAGCGAAAUUCCUUGUCGGGUAAGUUCCGACCUGCACGAAUGGCGUAAUGAUGGCCACGCUGUCUCCACCCGAGACUCAGUGAAAUUGAAAUCGCUGUGAAGAUGCAGUGUACCCGCGGCUAGACGGAAAGACCCCGUGAACCUUUACUACAGCUUGGCACUGAACAUUGAACCUACAUGUGUAGGAUAGGUGGGAGGCUAUGAAGACGUGACGCCAGUUGCGUUGGAGCCGUCCUUGAAAUACCACCCUUGUAUGUUUGAUGUUCUAACUUAGACCCAUUAUCUGGGUUGAGGACAGUGCCUGGUGGGUAGUUUGACUGGGGCGGUCUCCUCCCAAAGAGUAACGGAGGAGCACGAAGGUGGGCUAAUCACGGUUGGACAUCGUGAGGUUAGUGCAAUGGCAUAAGCCCGCUUAACUGCGAGAAUGACGGUUCGAGCAGGUGCGAAAGCAGGUCAUAGUGAUCCGGUGGUUCUGUAUGGAAGGGCCAUCGCUCAACGGAUAAAAGGUACUCCGGGGAUAACAGGCUGAUACCGCCCAAGAGUUCAUAUCGACGGCGGUGUUUGGCACCUCGAUGUCGGCUCAUCACAUCCUGGGGCUGAAGUCGGUCCCAAGGGUAUGGCUGUUCGCCAUUUAAAGUGGUACGCGAGCUGGGUUUAGAACGUCGUGAGACAGUUCGGUCCCUAUCUGCCGUGGGCGUUGGAAGAUUGAAGGGGGCUGCUCCUAGUACGAGAGGACCGGAGUGGACGAACCUCUGGUGUUCGGGUUGUGUCGCCAGACGCAUUGCCCGGUAGCUAAGUUCGGAAUUGAUAAGCGCUGAAAGCAUCUAAGCGCGAAGCGAGCCCUGAGAUGAGUCUUCCCUGACAGUUUAACUGUCCUAAAGGGUUGUUCGAGACUAGAACGUUGAUAGGCAGGGUGUGUAAGCGUUGUGAGGCGUUGAGCUAACCUGUACUAAUUGCCCGUGAGGCUUAACCAUACAACACCCAAGGGGUUUUGUA
rnacentral:rRNA from 1 species